UGAAAGUGGACAAGGAGUGUGACCAUUGA
rnacentral:piRNA from 1 species